rnacentral:hammerhead_ribozyme from 2 species
CAGCGAAACACUGGCGGCCUAGGUCGCUAGUGUCUAUCCAGCGUAGUGGCUGGGUACUGAUGAGCAGCUAACA